AUCAGAUAGUUCAACAGAGUUAUCAUAUGAUGAAUGAUAAUUCCAUCAUUCAAAGAAGACACCAAACAGAUGGUGCUUACAAUGUCAAUCAAAAAUAAUAGAUCCAUUAUCACUCACCUUAAUGAGAGGCUAUGAUCUAGUUAUCACCGUAACCAGCUCAUUUUAGAAACUUAAUAAUUUAGAGGGUUUAAUCAAUUUAGAGAAGAG
rnacentral:lncRNA from 1 species